rnacentral:rRNA from 1 species
UACGGAGGGGGCAAGCGUUGUUCGGAAUUACUGGGCGUAAAGGGCUCGUAGGCGGCCAACUAAGUCAGACGUGAAAUCCCUCAGCUUAACUGGGGAACUGUGUCUGAUACUGGAUGGCUUGGAUUCGGGAGAGGAAUGCGGAAUUCCAGGUGUAGCGGUGAAAUGCGUAGAUAUCUGGAGGAACACCGGUGGCGAAGGCGGCAUUCUGGACCAACACUGACACUGAGGAGCGAAAGCCAGGGGAGCAAACGGG